GGCAGGAUAGAGUAAUGGUAAUUCGCUAGGCUCCUUAUCUAGAAAUGUUGGUUCGAUUCCUUCUCCUGCAA
rnacentral:tRNA from 1 species